AUUUACAUAAUUUUUUAAAAUAAUUAAAAAAACGGAGAAAAAAGUAAAAAUUACCAAACGAUACAAAAAAGUAAACGCUGUAAAAAUGACGUAUGCGUACACCACGGCAAUUGGCGAUAAAUAAUGGACUAUCGACAGUCAACAGUGCAUUAUUUGAAACGCAGUGUACAACACCUGCACCACUUCCGAUCCGGGAGGGGAUAAAUGGAUAGUGUUGCGGCGUGGGGAUGCGCAGUAGCGAUUCGAUUUGGUCGGAGAGCGGACCGUUCUCUCCAGAGACAGACUAUAACAAUGUUAUGCUUCUUGAACUGAAAUUUAACUGUUAAUGGUUAAACAAGUUGCUUACCCAUCAAUUUAGUUUAAGUGUUUUCAGUGUUUUUUAAACGAUAUUUAAAAUUUCUCAUCUAUGUUCAAUUUUGUACGUAUGUUGCCUACCUUUGCUGAGUUUUACAUAAUAAUCUUCGUUCUUUUAGUUUUUAUAUCCCACUUUUCUAUGUUACCCUUUGUGACCGAUUACGUCUCGCAUCCGUAGGAUAGAACUGGUCGGAGGUAACUUGAAUAUUGAUUUUGAUCACAUAAAAAGUAAUUUGAAUUUAAAUAAUUUUUCCAGGGUAAAGUAUCCUUUGCAAUUUGUCGCCUCUGCAAUUUAGUGAUACUAAAAAAUAAUCCCCAGUAAAUCUUUGAAGCCACACCUGACACAAGAUAAUCUCUUUAAUGCAUAUAAAUGCAAAACAUUUAUCGCUACAUUAGAAAACAUUUUUAAUGUUUUUGUAUCAUUAAUAAUGAUACAAAUUAGGGUUUAUUAUUAUCCUUCAGUAGUC